rnacentral:rRNA from 1 species
CACGUAGGGGGCAAGCGUUGUCCGGAAUCAUUGGGCGUAAAGAGCUCGUAGGCGGCUCAGUAAGUCGGGUGUGAAACCUCCAGGCUCAACCUGGAGACGCCACCCGAUACUGCUGUGGCUAGAGUCCAGUAGGGGAGUGUGGAAUUCCCGGUGUAGCGGUGAAAUGCGCAGAUAUCGGGAGGAACACCAGCGGCGAAGGCGGCACUCUGGGCUGGUACUGACGCUGAGGAGCGAAAGUGUGGGGAGCGAACAGG